GGGGCUAAACCAUGCACCGAAGCUGCGGCAGCGACACUAUGUGUUGUUGGGUAGGGGAGCGUUCUGUAAGCCUGCGAAGGUGUACUGUGAGGUAUGCUGGAGGUAUCAGAAGUGCGAAUGCUGACAUAAGUAACGAUAAUGCGGGUGAAAAAACCCGCACGCCGGAAGACCAAGGGUUCCUGUCCAACGUUAAUCGGGGCAGGUGAGUCGACCCCUAAGGCGAGGCUGAAAAGCGUAGUCGAUGGGAAACGGGUUAAUAUUCCCGUACUGGUGGUAACUGCGAUGGGGGGAACGGAGAAGGCUAGGUUGUCCGGGCGACGGUCGUCCCGGUUCAAGCAUGUAGGCAGAGUGAUUAGGCAAAUCCGGUCACUUAAUGCUGAGGUG
rnacentral:rRNA from 1 species